rnacentral:rRNA from 1 species
ACGCACGCUGGCGGCGUGCUUCACCCCUGCAAGUCGAACGGAAAAGCCCUGCUUUUGUGGGGUGCUCGAGUGGCGAACGGGUGAGUAACACGUGAGUAACCUGCCCUUGACUUUGGGAUAACUUCAGGAAACUGGGGCUAAUACCGGAUAGGAGCUCCUGCUGCAUGGUGGGGGUUGGAAAGUUUCGGCGGUUGGGGAUGGACUCGCGGCUUAUCAGCUUGUUGGUGGGGUAGUGGCUUACCAAGGCUUUGACGGGUAGCCGGCCUGAGAGGGUGACCGGCCACAUUGGGACUGAGAUACGGCCCAGACUCCUACGGGAGGCAGCAGUGGGGAAUAUUGCACAAUGGGCGGAAGCCUGAUGCAGCAACGCCGCGUGCGGGAUGACGGCCUUCGGGUUGUAAACCGCUUUCGCCUGUGACGAAGCGUGAGUGACGGUAAUGGGUAAAGAAGCACCGGCUAACUACGUG